rnacentral:rRNA from 1 species
GAGUUUGAUCCUGGCUCAGGAUGAACGCUGGCGGCGUGCCUAAUACAUGCAAGUCGAGCGAACAGAUGAGAAGCUUGCUUCUCUGAUGUUAGCGGCGGACGGGUGAGUAACACGUGGGUAACCUACCUAUAAGACUGGGAUAACUCCGGGAAACCGGGGCUAAUACCUGAUAAUAUUUUGAACCGCAUGGUUCAAUAGUGAAAGGCGGCUUCGGCUGUCACUUAUAGAUGGACCCGCGCCGUAUUAGCUAGUUGGUAAGGUAACGGCUUACCAAGGCGACGAUACGUAGCCGACCUGAGAGGGUGAUCGGCCACACUGGAACUGAGACACGGUCCAGACUCCUACGGGAGGCAGCAGUAGGGAAUCUUCCGCAAUGGGCGAAAGCCUGACGAGCAACGCCGCGUGAGUGAUGAAGGUUUUCGGAUCGUAAAACUCUGUUGUUAGGGAAGAACAAAUUUGUUAGUAACUGAACAAGUCUUGACGGUACCUAACCAGAGCCCGGCUGGUCGU